rnacentral:tRNA from 1 species
GCCCACCUAGCUCAGUUAGUAGAACAGGAGACUCUUAAUCUCAGGGUGGUGGGUUCAAGCCCCACAUUGGGUG